rnacentral:rRNA from 1 species
UAAAGCGGGUGAAAAGCCCGCUCGCCGGAAGACCAAGGGUUCCUGUCCAACGUUAAUCGGGGCAGGGUGAGUCGACCCCUAAGGCGAGGCCGAAAGGCGUAGUCGAUGGGAAACGGGUUAAUAUUCCCGUACUUGGUGUUACUGCGAAGGGGGGACGGAGAAGGCUAUGUUGGCCGGGCGACGGUUGUCCCGGUUUAAGCGUGCAGGUGUGUGUUCCAGGUAAAUCCGGUUCACUUUAACACUGAGGCGUGACGACGAGGCACCACGGUGCUGAAGCAACAAAUGCCCUGCUUCCAGGAAAAGCCUCUAAGCCUCAGGUAACAUCAAAUCGUACCCCAAACCGACACAGGUGGUCAGGUAGAGAAUACCAAGGCGCUUGAGAGAACUCGGGUGAAGGAACUAGGCAAAAUGGUGCCGUAACUUCGGGAGAAGGCACGCUGACACGUAGGUGAAGUGGUUUACCCAUGGAGCUGAAGUCAGUCGAAGAUACCAGCUGGCUGCAACUGUUUAUUAAAAACACAGCACUGUGCAAACACGAAAGUGGACGUAUACGGUGUGACGCCUGCCCGGUGCCGGAAGGUUAAUUGAUGGGGUCAGCGCAAGCGAAGCUCCUGAUCGAAGCCCCGGUAAACGGCGGCCGUAACUAUAACGGUCCUAAGGUAGCGAAAUUCCUUGUCGGGUAAGUUCCGACCUGCACGAAUGGCGUAAUGAUGGCCAGGCUGUCUCCACCCGGGACUCAGUGAAAUUGAACUCGCUGUGAAGAUGCAGUGUACCCGCGGCAAGACGGAAAGACCCCGUGAACCUUUACUAUAGCUUGACACUGAACACUGGUCCUUGAUGUGCAGGAUAGGUGGGAGGCUUUGAAGUGUGGACGCCAGUCUGCAUGGAGCCAUCCUUGAAAUACCACCCUUUAAUGGCUGGUGUUCUAACGUGGGCCCCUGACCGGGGUUGCGGACAGUGUCUGGUGGGUAGUUUGACUGGGGCGGUCUCCUCCUAAAGAGUAACGGAGGAGCACGAAGGUUGGCUAAUCCUGGUCGGACAUCAGGAGGUUAGUGCAAUGGCAUAAGCCAGCUUGACUGCGAGCGUGACGGCGCGAGCAGGUGCGAAAGCAGGUCAUAGUGAUCCGGUGGUUCUGAAUGGAAGGGCCAUCGCUCAACGGAUAAAAGGUACUCCGGGGAUAACAGGCUGAUACCGCCCAAGAGUUCAUAUCGACGGCGGUGUUUGGCACCUCGAUGUCGGCUCAUCACAUCCUGGGGCUGAAGUAGGUCCCAAGGGUAUGGCUGUUCGCCAUUUAAAGUGGUACGCGAGCUGGGUUUAGAACGUCGUGAGACAGUUCGGUCCCUAUCUGCCGUGGGCGCUGGAAGAUUGAGGGGGGCUGCUCCUAGUACGAGAGGACCGGAGUGGACGCAUCACUGGUGUUCGGGUUGUCAUGCCAAUG